GACGUAGGGCGCAAGCGUUGUCCGGAUUUAUUGGGCGUAAAGAGCUCGUAGGCGGCCUGUCGCGUCGACCGUGAAAACCCGCAGCUCAACUGCGGGCUUGCGGUCGAUACGGGCAGGCUGGAGUUCGGUAGGGGAGACUGGAAUUCCUGGUGUAGCGGUGAAAUGCGCAGAUAGUCAGGAGGAACACCGGUGGCGAAGGCGGGUCUCUGGGCCGAUACUGACGCUGAGGAGCGAAAGCGUGGGGAGCGAACAGG
rnacentral:rRNA from 1 species